rnacentral:rRNA from 1 species
GAUGAACGCUGGCGGCGUGCCUAAUACAUGCAAGUCGAGCGAACGGACGAGAAGCUUGCUUUUCUUUUGUUAGCGGCGGACGGGUGAGUAACACGUGGAUAACCUACCUAUACGACUGGGGUAACUUCGGGAAACCGGAGCUACUACCUUAUAAUAUUUUCAACCGCAUGGUUCAAAAGCGAUAUACGGUCUUUCUGUCACUUAUAGACGUAUCCCUGUUGCAUUAGCUAGUUGGCAGGGUAAAGGCUUACCAAGGCGACGAUGCGUAGCUGGCCUGAGAGGAUGAUCAGCCACACUGGAACUGAGACACGGUCCAGACUCCUACGGGAGGCAGCAGUGGGGAAUAUUGGACAAUGGGCGCAAGCCUGAUCCAGCCAUGCCGCGUGGGUGAAGAAGGCCUUCGGGUUGUAAAGCCCUUUUGUUGGGAAAGAAAAGCAGCAGGUUAAUACCCCGCUGUUCUGACGGUACCCAAAGAAUAAGCACCGGCUAACUUCGUG